rnacentral:SRP_RNA from 1 species
ACCAGGUGUGGUGGCACAUGCCUGUAGUCCCAGCCACUCGGGAGGCCGAGGUGGGAGGAUCACUUGAGCCCAGAAGUUCUGGGCUGUAGCGUGUGAUGCUGAUCAGGUGUCCACACAAAGUUCAGAAUCAAUAUGGUGACCUCCCGGGAGCAAGGGACCACCAGGUUGCCUAAGGAGGGGUGAACUGGUCCAGGUUGGAAAUGGAGCAGGUCAAAACUCCUGUGCUGAUCAGUAGUGGGAUCACGCCUGUGAAUAACCACUGCAUUCUAGCCUGGGCAACAUAGCCAGACUCUGUCUCU